AUAGGUAUAUUCGACAAAUUAUACAUACAAGGCGAAAUAUGCAUGAAUAAUUGAGAACACCUGAAGUGAGGUGACCACUCCGCCUUCGAAACUUGUGCUAUACACAAAUUAAAAGAAGGAGCAACAGUCUACGAGGAAGUAUUGCCAGUUAAAAAAAAUAUUUCAUAAGAAUCUACACCAAAUACCAUUAUUUUGAAAUUAUGUAUUAAAAAAGCAUUCGCAUAAAGAAUUUCACAAUGAAAAGUUCCAACUCCGGCUAAAUAAAAUUCACAAAUAAACACGAAUAAAAUCAGUUGAACUUG